CUACGGGCUGCUGCAGUGGGGAAUAUUGCACAAUGGAGGAAACUCUGAUGCAGCAACGCCGCGUGGAGGAUGACACUUUUCGGAGCGUAAACUCCUUUUAUAUAGGAAGAAGAUGACGGUACUAUAUGAAUAAGCGCCGGCUAACUCCGUGCCAGCAGCCGCGGUAAUACGGAGGGCGCAAGCGUUACUCGGAAUCACUGGUCGUAAAGAGCGUGUAGGCGGAUUAAAAAGUCAGAAGUGAAAUCCUAUAGCUUAACUAUAGAACUGCUUCUGAAACUCUUAAUCUAGAAUAUGGGAGAGGUAGAUGGAAUUUCUGGUGUAGGGGUAAAAUCCGUAGAGAUCAGAAGGAAUACCGAUUGCGAAGGCGAUCUACUAGAACAUUAUUGACGCUGAGACGCGAAAGCGUGGGGAGCAAACAGGAUUAGAUACCCUUGUAGUC
rnacentral:rRNA from 1 species